UACGUGAGGGGCGAACGUUGUUCGGUGUCACUGGGCUUAAAGGGUGCAUAGGUGGUUGCGUAAGUAAGGUGUGAAAUCCCUCGGCUUACCCGGGGAAUUGCAUUUUAUACUGCGUGGCUUGAGGACUAAAGGGGAAAAGGGAACUCCAGGUGUAGCGGUGAAAUGCGCAGAUAUCUGGGGGAAGGCCGGCGGCGAAGGCGCUUUUCUGGUUAGUACCUGACACUGAGGCACGAAAGCGUGGGGAGCAAACAGG
rnacentral:rRNA from 1 species